CUGGCUCAGGUGUAUUCUACAGUGCACGUGUCUCCAGUGUGGCUCGGAGGCUGGAGACGCGGCCCUGUUGGAGUAACAACUGAAGCCGG
rnacentral:pre_miRNA from 2 species